GACGAACGCUGGCGGCGUGCUUAACACAUGCAAGUCGAACGGAAAGGCCCUGCUUUUGUGGGGUGCUCGAGUGGCGAACGGGUGAGUAACACGUGAGUAACCUGCCCUUGACUUUGGGAUAACUUCAGGAAACUGGGGCUAAUACCGGAUAGGAGCUCCUGCUGCUUGGUGGGGGUUGGAAAGUUUCGGCGGUUGGGGAUGGACUCGCGGCUUAUCAGCUUGUUGGUGGGGUAGUGGCUUACCAAGGCUUUGACGGGUAGCCGGCCUGGGAGGGUGACCGGCCACAUUGGGCCUGAGGUACGGCCCAGACUCCAACGGGAGGCAGCAGUGGGGAAUAUUGCACAAUGGGCGGAAGCCUGAUGCAGCAACGCCGCGUGCGGGAUGACGGCCUUCGGGUUGUAAACCGCUUUCGCCUGUGACGAAGCGUGAGUGACGGUAAUGGGUAAAGAAGCACCGGCUAACUACGUG
rnacentral:rRNA from 1 species